CAUGCAAGUCGAGCGGUAGCACAGAGAGCUUGCUCUCGGGUGACGAGCGGCGGACGGGUGAGUAAUGUCUGGGAAACUGCCUGAUGGAGGGGGAUAACUACUGGAAACGGUAGCUAAUACCGCAUAACGUCGCAAGACCAAAGUGGGGGACCUUCGGGCCUCAUGCCAUCAGAUGUGCCCAGAUGGGAUUAGCUGGUAGGUGGGGUAACGGCUCACCUAGGCGACGAUCCCUAGCUGGUCUGAGAGGAUGACCAGCCACACUGGAACUGAGACACGGUCCAGACUCCUACGGGAGGCAGCAGUGGGGAAUAUUGCACAAUGGGCGCAAGCCUGAUGCAGCCAUGCCGCGUGUGUGAAGAAGGCCUUCGGGUUGUAAAGCACUUUCAGCGGGGAGGAAGGCGAUAAGGUUAAUAACCUUGUCGAUUGACGUUACCCGCAGAAGAAGCACCGGCUAACUCCGUGCCAGCAGCCGCGGUAAUACGGAGGGUGCAAGCGUUAAUCGGAAUUACUGGGCGUAAAGCGCACGCAGGCGGUCUGUCAAGUCGGAUGUGAAAUCCCCGGGCUCAACCUGGGAACUGCAUUCGAAACUGGCAGGCUAGAGUCUUGUAGAGGGGGGUAGAAUUCCAGGUGUAGCGGUGAAAUGCGUAGAGAUCUGGAGGAAUACCGGUGGCGAAGGCGGCCCCCUGGACAAAGACUGACGCUCAGGUGCGAAAGCGUGGGGAGCAAACAGGAUUAGAUACCCUGGUAGUCCACGCUGUAAACGAUGUCGAUUUGGAGGUUGUGCCCUUGAGGCGUGGCUUCCGGAGCUAACGCGUUAAAUCGACCGCCUGGGGAGUACGGCCGCAAGGUUAAAACUCAAAUGAAUUGACGGGGGCCCGCACAAGCGGUGGAGCAUGUGGUUUAAUUCGAUGCAACGCGAAGAACCUUACCUGGUCUUGACAUCCACAGAACUUUCCAGAGAUGGAUUGGUGCCUUCGGGAACUGUGAGACAGGUGCUGCAUGGCUGUCGUCAGCUCGUGUUGUGAAAUGUUGGGUUAAGUCCCGCAACGAGCGCAACCCUUAUCCUUUGUUGCCAGCGGUUCGGCCGGGAACUCAAAGGAGACUGCCAGUGAUAAACUGGAGGAAGGUGGGGAUGACGUCAAGUCAUCAUGGCCCUUACGACCAGGGCUACACACGUGCUACAAUGGCAUAUACAAAGAGAAGCGACCUCGCGAGAGCAAGCGGACCUCAUAAAGUAUGUCGUAGUCCGGAUUGGAGUCUGCAACUCGACUCCAUGAAGUCGGAAUCGCUAGUAAUCGUAGAUCAGAAUGCUACGGUGAAUACGUUCCCGGGCCUUGUACACACCGCCCGUCACACCAUGGGAGUGGGUUGCAAAAGAAGUAGGUAGCUAACCUUCGGAG
rnacentral:rRNA from 1 species